rnacentral:rRNA from 1 species
GACGAACGCUGGCGGCGUGCUUAACACAUGCAAGUCGAACGGAAAGGCCCUGCUUUUGUGGGGUGCUCGAGUGGCGAACGGGUGAGUAACACGUGAGUAACCUGCCCUUGACUUUGGGAUAACUUCAGGAAACUGGGGCUAAUACCGGAUAGGAGCUCCUGCUGCAUGGUGGGGGUUGGAAAGUUUCGGCGGUUGGGGAUGGACUCGCGGCUUAUCAGCUUGUUGGUGGGGUAGUGGCUUACCAAGGCUUUGACGGGUAGCCGGCCUGAGAGGGUGACCAGCCACAUUGGGACUGAGAUACGGCCCAGACUCCUACGGGAGGCAGCAGUGGGGAAUAUUGCGCAAUGAGCGGAAGCCUGAUGCAGCAACUCCGCGUGCGGAAUGACGGCCUUCGGGUUGUAAACCGCUUUCGCAGGUGACGAAGCAUGAGUGACGGUAAUGGGUAAAGAAGCACCGGCUAACUACGUG